CGUACAGGUCUCCGUAGGUGAACCUGCGGAGGGAUCAUUACACAAAUAUGAAGGCGGGCUGGAACCUCUCGGGGUUACAGCCUUGCUGAAUUAUUCACCCUUGUCUUUUGCGUACUUCUUGUCUCCUUGGUGGGUUCGCCCACCACUAGGACAAACAUAAACCUUUUGUAAUUGCAAUCAGCGUCAGUAACAAAUUAAUAAUUACAACUUUCAACAACGGAUCUCUUGGUUCUGGCAUCGAUGAAGAACGCAGCGAAAUGCGAUAAGUAGUGUGAAUUGCAGAAUUCAGUGAAUCAUCGAAUCUUUGAACGCACAUUGCGCCCUUUGAUAUUCCAAAGGGCAUGCCUGUUCGAGCGUCAUUUGUACCCUCAAGCUUUGCUUGGUGUUGGGCGUCUUGUCUCUAGCUUUGCUGGAGACUCGCCUUAAAGUAAUUGGCAGCCGGCCUACUGGUUUCGGAGCGCAGCACAAGUCGCACUCUCUAUCAGCAAAGGUCUAGCAUCCAUUAAGCCUUUUUUUCAACUUUUGACCUCGGAUCAGGUAGGGAUACCCGCUGAACUUAAGCAUAUC
rnacentral:rRNA from 1 species